rnacentral:snRNA from 1 species
GUGCUUAUUAUGGCAGCACAUACACUAAAACCGGAACGACACAGAGAAGGCCAGCAUGGCCUCAGUGCAAGGAAAAUUUGGGGGACAGCGAGCGGCUUGGUGGACUA